rnacentral:rRNA from 1 species
UACGAAGGGUGCAAGCGUUACUCGGAAUUAUUGGGCGUAAAGGGCGCGUAGGCGGCUUUGCAAGUGGCGGGUGAAAUCCCUCGGCUUAACCGAGGAACUGCCUGUCAAACUGCAUGGCUUGAGACCAGGAGAGGUGAGUGGAAUUCCCAGUGUAGCGGUGAAAUGCGUAGAUAUCUGGAGGAACACCGGUGGCGAAGGCGACAUCCUGGACCGGUAUUGACGCUGAGGCGCGAAAGCCAGGGGAGCAAAGCGGGAU